UUAUAAGAUGCUCCGUCCAUCCUAUACUCACAAUUCUUUUACAGUUAUUACAGUUAUUUCAUGUGCUAUGAGAAGCGGGUUCAUCUGAAUGUGUGAGAGAGCCUGUGAAGUCCAGAACGUCGCGUUUUGGAGAAAUCGUGAAAGCUAAAACCCCCGAAAUGUGGUGGCACAACCCCGUGUCGUUGCGGUGCUGUUCAGUAGUAAAACCAUGCCCGUCGUCGUCCUGCAACUCCACUUAUCGGAAAACGGCCAUCGCCGCCACUCCCAUCGUCGGCUGUUGUCUAAAAACUCUAAUGGCAACCGCCAAGAUGACCACAGAUGAAUCUGACGUAGGCAUCUUCUGCUACAUCUCCCAACUUCCUGGCUUUCGCGGCAUUCUCAAGCAAAGGUAUUCCGAUUUUAUAGUGAACGAAGUUGAUAAGGAUGGAAAUGUAGUUCAUUUGACCUCUCUGGAAGUUCCUUCACAGAUUGUGGAGGCCGUGGAGGAGGGAGAGAAGAAGGUAUCGAUUCAAAUUGGGAAAAGUUACGCUUCUGAAAUCGAAUCGUUCAGGUCACUUGCAGGUGAUUCGGAUGCGGAGCGUUUAGAGGCUUUUAUCACUCAAGUUACUACUGAAAGUGAAGAUUGCAGGAGCAUUUCGCCUAUCCUUCUUUCUCCGAAUUCUGAUAAAGCCAAUCGGACGGCAAUGCAUAAUUUCUUCAAGGAGAAGUUCAAGUUCCUUGUUACUGAUACAGUUGAUGGACCUGAUGCUUCACUGAAAUGCAUUCGUGUGAGAUUGAAGUCUGGAGGACAUAACAAUGGAGGAAGAAAUUCCAAGAAACGGAAGGACAGAGGUGGCCAGCCCUUUGAUUGCCGAGGUUCAAAUAAUUGGCCAGAGCACCUUGGCAAGUUUCUUAGGUUUCAUCUUUACAAGGAGAACAAAGAUACACACGAAGCCAUAGGAUUAAUAGGAAAGAUGCUUGGCAUUAAGCCACGAUGUUUUGGGUUUGCGGGUAUAAAGGAUAAGCGCUCUGUGUCAACACAAAGGGUUAGUGUUUUCAAGCAGCAUGCUACUAGACUAGCAGCUCUUAAUGACAGAUUGAUUGGUAUCAAAGUGGGUAACUUCUGCCAUGUCACAGAAGAACUUCUUCUUGGGCAGCUCCUAGGUAACCGAUUCACCAUUACAUUACGAGGAGUUGUUGCAGAUUCUGAAGAUACUAUUAAGAGGUCUGCAGAUUCAUUAGGAAGGCAUGGAUUCAUCAAUUACUUUGGUUUACAACGUUUUGGUAGUGGUUCCAUGCCAACAUAUCUCGUUGGGGCUGCAUUACUCCGAGGAGAGUGGAAAAGUGCUGUAAGCAUGAUCCUUGAUCCAAGAGAAGGGGAAAGAGAUUUGGUAAGGAAGGCACGAGAAUAUUAUAAGGAAAGUGGUGAUAUUGAAGGGACUCUAAAGCAACUACCUCCUCAUCUGAUUGCUGAAAGGGCCAUACUUCAAUGUAUGAAGAAAUGUCCUGGCAACUACUUGCAGGCCCUGAAAGCAAUACCUAGAACUUUGAGAAUGAUGUAUGUACACAGUUAUCAAAGCUAUUUAUGGAACCAUGCAGCAAGUGUGAGAGUACAAAAAUAUGGAUCUGACCAAAUUGUGGUGGGGGACUUGGUGUAUUUCAAAGGAGAUGAUACUGAAAGAGAGACUUUAGGAGUUAAUUCUGAAUGUGAAGUUCAUAGCCAUGAUGAUGUGCAUGAUUGCAGUAAUUCAGAUGAAACCUCUGGAGCAAAUCUUCCUGAAAUGAAAAAUACUCUUGUUAAGGCAGUAACUGCAGAAGAUAUCUCUACUGGGAAUUAUACCAUUGAUGAUGUCAUCCUUCCAAUGCCUGGAUCUAGGGUGUCUUAUCCAAUGAAUGAUGUUGCCAAAGUUUAUCAUGAUUUGGCAAAGAAGGAUACUAUCAACUUGGCUGAGAGUGUGCAUAGUGUCAAGGAAUUUUCAAUAACCAGCAUCACUGGAAAUUAUAGACGUGUUUUUCAGAAGCCAACAGACUUUGAAUGGGAAUUACUCUCAUAUACUGAUGGUAAUAUACCAUUGGCAGUGACAGAUUUGGACAAAAUUGCUAAGGUUAAAUCUAAGAAUUUAUUCAAAGAAGAGGAAAGAGCCAAUGGAAAGGAGGACAAAAACCCAUAUUGCACGAGACAACCAAUGAGCUUUCAAAAUGAUAUACAUUUAUCAACAGAUUACAAUGAGACUGAGGGCGAGAGAGAAGUAGUGCUGGCACAAGUUAAUUCUGUAUGUGACUCUUAUUCUCAGGGAACUCAAAUGGCUCUCAAGCUAAGCUUCACUCUUCCAGCCUCAUCUUAUGCAACAAUUGCCAUACGAGAGCUGCUGAAGACAUCAUCUGUUGCACUCCACAAAACAUUAAACCAGUAAGAUCAUAGAUUGUUGUGGUCACUGUUGUUAGAAUCUUAUGAUUCUUGAUUCGAAUUGUACGAUUCAAUUCAAUUCUCCAUCCUAUCAAUUCAAAUCUAUGGAGUGAAUUGCAAAUGUCUAACCAAAUCUUAGGAGUUAUGAUUUGAUAUCGGGUGAAUCAAUAUAAAUCAACCGAUUCGGUCAAUUCUUUUUCUAGAGAGUUGUUAGAUCCUAUCGCUUCAAACUUUAAAAUUUCACUCUUUUUACUAAGAAAAGUGCGCAUAAAACCUUCCCUUAGCUAUUUUUCUUUCAUUAGCCAUUCUUUUUCCUCUUCUUUCUUUUUUUUUAUUUUUUUAAUUUUUGUUAAUUUACUUCUCUAAUUAUAGUUGUCAAAUUAUGACCUUUUAUAUUGAUAUAUUCUGACCUUUUGAUUUAACUCAUUAUCCUUUUUUAUCAUUUAAUUAUUGGAUCAAAUUUGAAUGGGAGUUGAGCACAUGCACAAUGAUAAUCAUCGUUUAAAAAUUUAAGAGUUCAUAAUUUAUAACAUAAAACUAUAUAACAUAAUAAGAAUAUGUUCUUCUAUUAUAAAACAUCUUUCUCAGUAGCUAAAUGAUAAUUCCAUAUUUAUCAAAAUAUGUCAUGGUGAUUUUUUUACUUAUUUUUAGAACAUAUAUCAUUUUUAAUUAAUUUUGAGAAUUUUUAUCAAAUCUUAUGAUUUGAUUCGAUUCUCGAAUCUCAAUUCAUAAAAUGAAGAUUUUGAUUAUCGAUUUGACAACUAUGUGUUGUGGUGUCCAGAACUGAAAUUAUGCUUCUUUGGAGGUCAAAAGUACUAAAUUGCAAGAGCAAAUGAGUUUUUGUAGUGGUGGAUGCAUUAUUCCUUGGUCUGCAAUUGUUGAUGGCCAGAAAUUGCCAAAUGAAACUGAUUUCAUAACUUUACAAGAAGAAUUCUGCCUUGAAAGGUUCUAGGGUGAACUUGAACUUGAUACUCCCUUGUGGUGACACUAGAUUCAUAAACUUAUAGUGUUUUUCAUGAUAUUACAUCAUAGCAACCAAAUUGUAUGUCUGUUAUUCCUUCCAGUAGCUCUUUGUUUGGUAUAAAGAACCACAUCAGAAUUUGGAUUACCAUUUAGUACAGAUUCAAAUGGGGCUGCUGUCAAAAGAUUCAGAAGAGUUAGAAAAACAGCGUUUGCAAGAUUCUGAAAUGGAGAAGAAAUUUAAUGCAAAACCUACCUCAUAUUCAACCAGAAGUUUGCUGUGGUUGGGAUAACUAGAGCUACUCGUGCUUUUGGGAUCACAAUCAAUAUCCUUUGACAUGGUUGAUUGAUAGAGCUUGAUGAACCAGGGGUCUUGGUUUUCAUAAGCAAUGGGCAUCAAGUGAAAGGAUGAGCCUUGAAUGUGAGCUUCUUGCUGGGCAUUCUUUCCGUCCAUUGAAGCCAUUUGGUUGCUUUUUGGUCUCAUGCCCCAUUUGGGCCUCUGUUUGGGUUCACUUUGUGACCUGACUUUAGCCCUUGAUGAUUCUGUGUUGGCCAUGUAGUUUGGAUGAGAAAUACUGUGCACAUAAUCUGGCUUCUGAUAGGUGAAAGAGGCUCUUCCAGGGAUUGUAUUGGGAAUUGGGGAACAGAUUUGGGGACUAUUCUGUGCUGUGGAGAAGGAAAACUCCUCGUACUGGUGCUCUUGCUUUAAGAUUGAGAGUUCUUCCGAGUAGUAUUUGGUACGCCCAUGCUCCCUUCUCUCCAUUUGUGAAUGAUUCAAAUGCUCAUGUUUGUUCUUCAAAAUUCUUUUUGUUUCAUAAAUAUCUAGGUCGAUUGCCUCCUAAAUGAACAGGUUACCCACACAAACCACUAGUUGAAGAUUCAAAUCAAUUGUGUCUGUCUCAUAAAGUUUGAUAAAGUUCCUCUAAUACUUACUUUAUAUGCACCUCUGAGUCCAUUGUCAUGAGAUGAACUUCCUCGCCUGGACGAUUGGCUUCUUACGACAAGCUGUGAUGAUUCUUCAGCCAUCUGAAUUCUUUGAAACCGAGCCCUCACUUGUAUUGCCAUCAGGGCAUGCAUUUGCCUGAGAGUAGCUGUUGUUUGUUUCCUCACCAAGUGACCUCUUACCAGUGCUUGCAACUUCACUAGGGCCCUCAAAGCACACAAUGCUUUUCUUGCCUGCAAAAAUACAUCAAUCAAUAUGAUUUGUCUUCUUACUCUCUCUUAACAGGAUAUGCAAAUGAAACAAAUAUAUUAGUACCAAAUAAGAACGGAAGGCAGCUUGGAUCCUGGUGGCAGCUGCAUCUUCAACUGAUUUGCUUAUUCUAUCUGCUGCCACAUGCCUUGGUGCCACAACUCUUUUUAUAGUUUCUGUGGGUGCUGCCAAUGCCUUGACCUUUUUAUUACUUUGCUGAUUUUCCCAUUCCAAUAAGGAUGCAUGUUGUGCUAUAAGUGGGGUUAUUGAGUCGAGAGAUUUGGAACAUUUAUGAACCCGCUCUUUGCUUGCUGAUUUCCCAAAGCUCCAUCUACGCUUGUAAGGAGUUGAUGGUACACUUGAAGUUGGAGUUGCAACAGUACUACCAAUACCAUCAUAGAAAGCAAUAUUUUUCUUCUUUUCUUUCUCCUCUUUUUUCCCUAGCAAGAAGUUUAUUAUCCACUUGCUUGCCUUUCCCAUCUCUGCCACAAUAUCUAAGGUCCCAUAUUAGGGCAUCAAAGCAAUGGAGGAUGAAGAAAAUGAACAGGGACUACAAGGUUGCAAAGUGUUGUACCUAUCUUUCUAUCCAAUUAUCCUGUUAAGAAGCAGGCCAUCAUCUUAUUUAUACACAAUAAUUGAUCUUUUUGGAUCUUUGUAUGCAUACUGUAACUAUGUUUUUAUUAUUUUCUCCUGUCAAGUGGAUUUGUCCUCUUGUGACAUAGUUUAUUUGCCAAGGCCUGCAAAAGUCUACCCCCUUAAGCCAUUUGCCUCUCUCCUAAAGAUUGCAGGAAAAGAUUCUUCUACUUUGAUGGAACCUUCUAAACUGCUCAAUCUUUGUUUCUUUGCUAGGGCCAAACACACUCGAAAUCUAGGAUUCCACCUCCACCUCCACCUCCCUAAUUCUUAAAUUCAUCAGGUGCAGUAUAUGGGGCACAAUAAGUUUAUUUUGGAAAUAGAAAAGGGAAUGAACGUUUUAUGUUCUUAAGAUUUUGGCUAAGGGUUAAUUUCACUCGUCCUCUCUUAACUUUGAGAGUUAGAUUUGAAAGUUAUCAUUUCUUAAUUUCAAUUUGUAUCAUAAAAAUAUUUAAAUUUUAAUUUAAUGCUCUAAAUUAUUCUAAUUAGAUUUUAUUAGAUACUUUAAUUAGAAAUUAAUUUGAGCAUGUCAUAAAUAUAAUAAAAAAUAUUUUUCUUUCUGUGUCACUUGUAGAGAACAAUCUCUCUCCCUCAUAUCCAUAAAUGAAAUGAUUGAUUUCUCAAUUUUUCAUCUCUCAUCAUUUGUGUUUCCCAGGUGACAAAGAGAUUAUUUUCUUCCGGUGACAAAUGUAAAUAUAUUUUAUUGUGUCUAAUGUUCUCAUCAACUUCUAGUUGAAGAAUCCAAUGAAAUUUGGCCAAAGAAGUUUUGGGUUUU